rnacentral:lncRNA from 1 species
GGAGGACAUUAUGGAAGGUCGACUGCUUAAGGAGUCCGGAUGGUACUAUGGAAGCUCGGACGGCCAGAGAAGUUCAGAAAGAUGCCACACAAGGUCGAAAGCCAGAAGAGUUCUAGGAGGGUUGGCCUCUUAUGAACUUUGGCUGGGGUUAUUUUAUACCCAACACUCUUGAUCUUCUUCUUCUCUAAGAGUGUCUUGAGAGAAAAGAAGAGUCUUCUUCAACUAUCAAGA